CCCCCCCCCUCAAACCCUAAACUCUCAUUUGUUCUAUCAAAUCUUAAGCUUUCGUUCAUUUUCUUGUUCGAAUGUGGUAAUAAUCAGAUAACUUCAUCGGUGGAUGCUCUCUAUGACUUCUGCAACUUUCUCUCCUUCAAUUUCUUCUUAUAAAAUUGAAAAGGGUUUAAAAUAGCGGGACGAAAAUGCAAUAGCGUCCGCUAUUUCGCGGUAGCGCCGCCGUCCGAAACCGAAAUCCGGGAAAAUCACGAUAGGCAGCGGAUUCACGCCAAAAUCGGUCGAUUGCGUUCGUAAUCUAACGGGUAACGGUGAAUAGCGCCGAUAACAUGACGUUAUUACCGUUAUCUACCGUUAAUAACAGUGGCCGACGAUCGAGAGGCUUGGAGCCUCCAUGGUGAGCGGCGUUCGUGAGAUGGAGAGGGAGCUGCGUUCGUGAGAUGGAGAGGGAGAGAAAUAGAAGAGAUGAAGUGCAGACAGGGCCACAUGGGUAUUGUUUUAGGUUAUAUUAAUUUAUUUUUGGAUUAAUUUAUUUUAAAUCCCUCAU